CGGGCCCAGGGCGGGCCCGGUGGGGCCGAUGCGGACUCCGCAUCCCCCCGCCGGGCCGUAGGGUCGCUGAUGGCGGCUGUGCCCGAGCACGGCAGCGCUACUGCCCUCAUCCACGGGGUCGGGGCCUGUGCGGAGCUGUGGCCCAGAGCCCUACCUCAGCAGGAGCCGCAGGAGGCCUCAGUUCUUGGGCGUUCAAGCUGCCGCGCCUUUUCUGCAGCCUCCGGCUCUCAGCUGUCACGCGUUCCGACCUGGAUUUCUGAGACUCCGUGCUGGCACUCUGCAUCUUGUUUGCAAUGUCCCAUUCUGAGGGAUGAAACUUGGGUGGAGCUUGCAGUAGCCUGGCCAUUGUUUUUUGGAAGGUUUCUGGAUAUAACUCAGUCUUUUUCAAACAUAUUUCUGUAUUUCUACCAUGCUGAUGUGAUCAACACUUCGGGGCACUGCUCUGCAACACUUCAGCCAGCCGGCCACACAGGUGAAUGUAAGCAAAAGGACAGUAAAAAGCAAGAAAUAACAC